rnacentral:rRNA from 1 species
GGGCCCGCACAAGCGGUGGAGCAUGUGGUUUAAUUCGAUGAUACGCGAGGAACCUUACCUAGGCUAUAAUGUGAGUGAUCGGUGCUGAAAGGCACUUUUCCUUCGGGACACGAAACAAGGUGCUGCAUGGUUGUCGUCAGCUCGUGCCGUGAGGUGUCGGGUUAAGUCCCAUAACGAGCGCAACCCCUAUCUUUAGUUGCCAGCGGUUCGGCCGGGGACUCUAAAGAAACUGCCCGCGCAAGCGGUGAGGAAGGUGGGGAUGACGUCAAAUCAUCACGGCCCUUACGUCUUGGGCUACACACGUGCUACAAUGGUAGUGACAAUGGGCAGCCACUCCGCGAGGAGGCGCAAAUCCACAAACACUAUCUCAGUUCGGAUCGGAGUCUGCAACUCGACUCCGUG